rnacentral:rRNA from 1 species
UACAGAGGUCUCAAGCGUUGUUGGGAUUCAUUGGGCGUAAAGGGUGCGUAGGUGGUUGGGUAAGUCAAAUGUGAAAUCCCGGAGCUCAACUCCGGAACUGCAUUCGAUACUGACCGGCUCGAGGAUUGGAGAGGAGACUGGAAUUCACGGUGUAGCAGUGAAAUGCGUAGAGAUCGUGAGGAACACCCGUGGCGAAGGCGGGUCUCUGGACAAUUCCUGACUCUGAGGCACGAAGGCCAGGGGAGCAAACGGG